rnacentral:rRNA from 1 species
UACGUAGGGUCCGAGCGUUGUCCGGAGUUACUGGGCGUAAAGCGCGCGCAGGCGGCGGUGCUGGCCCGGCGUGAAAGCCCCCCGGCUCAACCGGGGAGAGUCGUCGGGGACCGCACCGCUUGAGGGCGGUAGGGGCUGGUGGGAAUGCCUGGUGUAGUGGUGAAAUGCGUAGAGAUCAGGCAGAACACCUGGGGCGAAGGCGGCCAGCUGGGCCGUCCCUGACGCUGAGGCGCGAAGGCGUGGGGAGCGAACGGGG